UACGUAGGUGGCAAGCGUUGUCCGGAAUUAUUGGGCGUAAAGCGCGCGCAGGCGGCCUCUUAAGUCUGAUGUGAAAUCUUGCGGCUCAACCGCAAGCGGCCAUUGGAAACUGGGGGGCUUGAGUACAGAAGAGGAGAGUGGAAUUCCACGUGUAGCGGUGAAAUGCGUAGAUAUGUGGAGGAACACCAGUGGCGAAGGCGACUCUCUGGUCUGUAACUGACGCUGAGGAGCGAAAGCAUGGGGAGCGAACAGG
rnacentral:rRNA from 1 species